rnacentral:rRNA from 1 species
UACGUAGGGGGCUAGCGUUGCUCGGAAUUACUGGGCGUAAAGGGCGCGUAGGCGGCUGACUAAGUCGGGGGUGAAAGCCCGGGGCUCAACCUGGGAAUGGCAAUGGAUACUGGCAAGCUAGAGUGCGGUAGAGGGUAGUGGAAUUCCCGGUGUAGCGGUGAAAUGCGUAGAGAUCGGGAGGAACACCAGUGGCGAAGGCGGCUACCUGGACCAGCACUGACACUGAGGCACGAAAGCGUGGGGAGCAAACAGG